rnacentral:rRNA from 1 species
UACGUAGGGUGCAAACGUUGCUCGGAAUUAUUGGGCGUAAAGCGCACGUAGGCGGCUUUUCAAGUCCCAUGUGAAAGCCCACGGCUUAACCGUGGAAGUGCAUGGGAAACUGGAAAGCUUGAGUACUUAAGAGGAUCGCGGAAUUCCCGGUGUAGAGGUGAAAUUCGUAGAUAUCGGGAGGAACACCAGUGGCGAAGGCGACUAUCUGGGCUGAAACUGACGCUGAGGCGCGAAGGCUAGGGGAGCAAACAGG